rnacentral:lncRNA from 1 species
GUCACGGGAAGGGCAAGAACAUGCUGGAGGGAGGACACGGUGGGCGAGGCCACAUGUGGCCAAUGUGUCCCAGUGGGUGAUGCUGGGAGGUGAUGCUGGGAGGUGGCUGCUACAGUCGACACUUAGGAAGUCGUAAAUCCCCAGAGAGGACCAGGAAUCAGGGACACUUCCUCUUAGCUCGCCCACGAGCCCCAUCAUGAAGCCGCGUCUGAGGGUCUCGGCGUGUCCGGCCCGACGAGCGAGUGAGGCUCCCGAGGCCACUCUGCAAAGCUCGCUCUUUCCUCCUCCUUCCUUCCUUUCUUCUUUUCUUUCUUUUCUUUCUUCUUUUUCUUUCUUUUUCUAUUUUCUUCUUUCUUUUUUUCUUCUUUUUUCUUUCUUUUUCUUUUCUUUUUCUUUUUCUUUCUUUUUUCUUUUUCUUUUUUCUUCUUUUUUCUUUUUUCUUUUUUCUUCUCUCUUUUCUUUCUUCUUUCUUUUUCUUUCUUUUUUCUUUUUCUUUCUUCUUUCUUUUUUUUCUUUUUUCUUCUUUUCUUUCUUCUUUUUCUUUCUUCCUUUUUCUUUUUUCUUUCUUUUUCUUCUUUUUUCUUUUUUCUUUAUUUUUUCUUUUUUCUUUCUCUUUCUUUUUCUUUCUUCUUUUUUCUUUUUUCUUUUUCUUUCUUUUUCUUUCUUUUUUCUUCUUUUUUUCUUUUUUCUUUUUUUCUUUCCUUUUCUUUUUCUUUCUUUUUUCUUCUUUUCUUUCUUAUUUCUUUCUUUUUCUUUUUUCUUUUUCUCUUCUUUUUUCUUUCUCUUUCUUCUUUCUUUCUUCUCUUUCUUUUUCUUCUUUUUUCUUUUUUCUUUCUUUCUCUUUCUUUUUUCUUUUUUCUUUUUCUUUCUUUUUUCUUCUUUUUCUUUUUUCUUUCUUCUUUUUUCUUUCUUCUUUUUUCUUUUUUCUUUCCUUUUCUUCUUUUUUCUUUUUUCUUUCUUUCUUUCUUUCUUUCAUCUUUCUAUUUAUUCAUUUAUUUGCUUCCUUUUCUUU